rnacentral:rRNA from 1 species
AGCAGUCGCCGCGGUAAUACAGAGGGUGCAAGCGUUAAUCGGAAUUACUGGGCGUAAAGCGCGCGUAGGUGGCUUUUUAAGUCGGAUGUGAAAUCCCUGAGCUUAACUUAGGAAUUGCAUUCGAUACUGGGAAGCUAGAGUAUGGGAGAGGAUGGUAGAAUUCCAGGUGUAGCGGUGAAAUGCGUAGAGAUCUGGAGGAAUACCGAUGGCGAAGGCAGCCAUCUGGCCUAAUACUGACGCUGAGGUACGAAAGCAUGGGGAGCAAACAGGAUUAGAUACCCGUAGUCCCUGUCUCUUAUACAC